rnacentral:misc_RNA from 1 species
AAAAAAAAAAAAAAAACUUCAUGAAAACAAAAUGGCGUCCAAAACAAAACUAGCAAGUUGGUGUAGCAGGGUUGGUCGCCAAAAAAUCGCCAAGUUACCAUAAUCCAAAGAUUAACCAAAAUUUCUCCUCUUUCCCUCCCUAGGUUCUUUUUUGAAUUGAGUGAUUAUACUAAUAAAAAAACAUUUUAAUUUUUGUUCUCUUUUCUAUUACAGGCAGAGCUGCUGUAAUUGUUUUUAUUAGCUGUAACUUUUAAAUUGUGUGUAAACUUAGAAUGAUUUUCCCUUUCAAAUGCCAGGGUGAAAACCUGUUUUACAAACUCUGAAAAUAAAUGAAUCACUUAAACUGAUCUGUGGAAAAUAGAUGAACAUUCAAAGAUUUAAAACGAAAUUUCAGCUUGGCACUGGAUGGAAUGGCAUUUCAGUUCCGACAAAGUUACCAUGAAGAGAACUGACUAGAAAUUAUCUUUAUCACAAAUUGUAGAUGCUCAUCACCGAGUCGGAUUCUCAUUGAUUUUUUAACUGUGAAAAAAACCUGCUCCCAUAUAAAUGAGACUUUAUAACAGAGAAACCUGUGUUAACAAUAGCUCUUAAAUUCUGUUUAUUUUCGAAGGUAAACUGGAGAACAAAACAUUAUAUGCAUGAAUGACAGGAGCAAAACAAAGGUCAAAUUUAUAAGCUUUUAUUUAGCUCACUCAUGGUGUUUGUGGCUAUGGUCAAAAGUUUUAAUCAGUUUUUAAACUACUUCCUGAUAAGUUACCGAGUUCAAAUUUUGGACUGUGAAUGAUAAUAAAGUGUGGUGAAAACAAUUUUUUUCAAAAUUUAAAUUUUUUUAAUUUAAUUUUGAAAUGAUUUUUUCACAUGCAUCUUCAUUUAUUAUUAUUAUUUACGUGUUUCACCUUAAGGCACUACAAGGAAGGGUGGGAUAUCUUCAUUUAACAAACAAAAUAAAUACGGUUUAUAGAUCAUCAAUUUAAAUCUGGUAAGAUGGCAU